rnacentral:rRNA from 1 species
AGGACAAACGCUGGCGGCGUGCCUAAGACAUGCAAGUCGAACGGUGGGGCUUGCCCCACAGUGGCGGACGGGUGAGGAACGCGUGGGCAACCUGCCCCGGGGUGGGGGAUAACACUCAGAAAUGGGUGCUAAGACCGCAUACGAGUGGGGGACGGAAGGUUCCUUAGGGAAAAGCCUUCGGGCUGCCCUGGGAGGGGCCCGCGUCGGAUUAGCUAGUUGGUGUGGUAACGGCGCACCAAGGCUGCGAUCCGUAGCUGGUCUGAGAGGACGACCAGCCACACUGGGACUGAGACACGGCCCAGACUCCUACGGGAGGCAGCAGUUAGGGAAUUUUCACAAUGGGCGCAAGCCUGAUGGAGUGACGCCGCGUGCAGGACGACGCCUUUCGGAGUGUAAACUGCUUUUCGUUCGGGACGAGAACGGACGGUACCGGAGGAAGAAGCCUCGGCUAACUACGUGCCAGCAGCCGC